UAUUUUGAGAGUAAGAGUGGAAUUGUCUUACCUACGGUGAGGAGAUUUUCACCGGUUAUUGUUGAGGUUGAUGAAGAUGAUGCGCGAACAAUUCGUAAACACGGGGCUGCAACUGGAGGCUUUUGAUGAAGGUGAUGCCACAACACCUCUUUGGACUUAUGGGAGCGCCUUGAAGAUGGAACUUCAAGUUGUUGGAAGCUUGAAGAUGAAGAUCUUCAAGAAAGGUAUGAAG